rnacentral:rRNA from 1 species
UGAAGCUGGAAUUGCUAGUAAUGGCAGGUCAGCAUACUGCCGUGAAUACGUUCCCGGGCCUUGUACACACCGCCCGUCACACCAUGAGAGUUGGGAAUACCCGAAGCCUGUGAGCUAACUUAUAGAGGCAGCAGUCGAAGGUAGAAUCAAUGAUUGGGGUGAAGUCGUAACAAGGUAGC